GUACACGCUGUGACUAGCAUAUCAAUAAGCGGAGGAAAAGAAACUAACAAGGAUUCCCCUAGUAACGGCGAGUGAAGCGGGAAGAACUCAAAUUUGAAAUCUUAAAGGGUUUCCCUUUACGAAUUGUAGUUUAAAGAAGUGUUUUCUGUUGAGGUUUUGGUAAAAGUUCUUUGGAAUAGGACAUCAUAGAGGGUGAGAAUCCCGUAUUUGACCUUUACUUUCAACUUUGUGAUACACUUUCAAAGAGUCGGAUUGUUUGGGAAUGCAGUCCAAAAUGGGUGGUAGAUUUCAUCUAAAGCUAAAUAUUGGCGAGAGACCGAUAGCGAACAAGUACCGUGAGGGAAAGAUGAAAAGAACUUUGAAAAGAGAGUUAAACAGUACGUGAAAUUGUCAAAAGGGAAGCGUUUGACACCAGUGUUGUUUUUCUGAAAAUCAAUUAAAGAACUGUUUAUGCUAAGCUGUUUAGACUUUAUCAGCUAUCUGUUUAGUUUUGAGCUUUUCUUUAAUGCACUUUUCAGUUAACAAGUCAACAUCAAUUUCUUUUGCUGUAAAAAAGCUUGAGGAAGGUGGCUUGAGAUUCGUCUUAAGUGUUUAUAGCCUCUUGCCUAUGCAGUCGGAGAGAUUGAGGUCUGCAGCGUAGAUCCUUCGGGGCUAAAUGCAUUUGUGCUAAGUUAUAGCAUUUUAUAGACAACUUGUUGACUAUGAUUUGUCUUGUAGCUUACUCGCUUAUGUUAUUUUACCUACGCUUAGGAUGUUGACUGAUAUGUAGUCGUA
rnacentral:rRNA from 1 species